GUCAGGGUGGCCGAGCGGUCUAAGACGCUGCGUUCAGGUCGCAGUCUCCCCUGGAGGCGUGGGUUCGAAUCCCACCUCUGACA
rnacentral:tRNA from 1 species